CUCCAGAUCUUUUCAGCUCUGUUAUCUACGACCCAAUUCUCUCUCUUGGGUUGGUUCCAUACCCAGUCUGCGGCUCUGCUUGGCAGAUUCCCUAAGCUGCCAAGACACCUUUAUCACCAGAGGAAGGGCGAAGGACCUCCAUCAACAGAGGAAGUGAUUCCACAUGAUUGUGAUGGUUUGUUUCAAAGCAAGAGAGUGGGGCACUUGACACCCAGGAACACUUGCUUCUCUUACAGCUCAAGGCUUCAUAUGUGGCAUUUCUCCACUUUUACAUUUUUGUUUAAAGCAGAAUAUAGACACUUCAAUGUUUCAAGAAUGAAAGUGAAAAUACAAGAGAAAAGCUAUAUCACAAGUUAAACUUCAGUCAGUCUUGGAAGGAGGUCAAUGCAGAAACUUACGGCAGGAAUUGAAGCAGAAAUCAUGGAAGAAUGCAGCUUAUGGGUUUUCCAGUUCUUUGAAAAUAUACAAAAGUUCUCCUCGUUCACUGUGUACAAGAAAUUUGAUAAAACUAUGAAAAAUUGAAAAAAGGAAAAAUAAAAACAGAAACACUAAUGA